AGAACAAAGGGGAGCGCCAUGGAGCACUGUCAGGUGGAAGAUCAGCAGACCCACUGCCAACAGGACAGUUUCUGCGAUGGUAAACUGAACUGAUCCCCACAAACUCUGCUUCAGAUGAUCUACAACAACCUGGAGAUUAUCUACCACAAUCAAGGCUAUGCCAGUCACUCAUCCCCCACCAGCCUAAGAACAGUGGCAAGCAAACUACAAGACACUGGACAUCAGAUAUUGUCAAACCCAGCUCCUUAUCUCUGCCUCUUCUUUGUCUAGUUCCCCCACAGUUAUUACUAAAUACAGACUUGAAGCA
rnacentral:lncRNA from 1 species